rnacentral:rRNA from 1 species
AUUGAACGCUGGCGGAAUGCUUUACACAUGCAAGUCGAACGGCAGCACGGACUUCGGUCUGGUGGCGAGUGGCGAACGGGUGAGUAAUGUAUCGGAACGUGCCCAGUCGUGGGGGAUAACGUAGUGAAAAUUACGCUAAUACUGCAUACGAUCUAUGGAUGAAAGCGGGGAUCGCAAGACCUCGCGCGAUUGGAGCGGCCGAUAUCAGAUUAGGUAGUUGGUGGGGGAAAGGCCCACCAAGCCAACGAUCUGUAGCUGGUCUGAGAGGACGACCAGCCACACUGGAACUGAGACACGGUCCAGACUCCUACGGGAGGCAGCAGUGGGGAAUUUUGGACAAUGGGCGAAAGCCUGAUCCAGCCAUUCCGCGUGCAGGAUGAAGGUCCUCGGGUUGUAAACUGCUUUUGUACAGAACGAAAAGGUUUCUACUAAUACUAGGAGCUCAUGACGGUACUGUAAGAAUAAGCACCGGCUAACUACGUGCCAGCCGCCGCUGUAA